UAUAGACCCCUUCCCACGCUGCGAAGUGAAUUGCGUGUUCUCCAUCCCGGCGCAACUCAAAGCAAGCUCCGCUCCUUUCACCCGGUCCCGCCCUGCUCCCGGCGCUACACUUUCUGCCGGCUUAGAAAUGUGAGUCUGGCCAGAGAGUGCACGCCUUUGUUUGCAGCACUCGGGAUGCCGAGCCAGGCGGGUCCCUGAGGCCACUUCUAAUCCUCACUCCUGCCUCCAAAAAAGAAAAUUCCCAGGCUGCGAUGACAUUCCAGAGUAACGUGCAGUAAGGCCCUGCUGAAGAGGCUGCAAGCCAGCCUGGACACAAGAUUCUGUCUACACUGUCGACGACUUUCCUAUGACUACAUUUCUUCGCACGUGGAUCCACUUUUCUCACUGAUCUAUAGAAUUGUGCGCCUGACAUCAUCUCUCUGGGACUGGAGCUGCAGGCAUAUAUACCCAGUUAAAUGGUCUUGGCGAUAGCCCGCCCUGCGAUGUGCAUCUAGGCAGUGAUCACUUUCCCAGGACUGUCAUGGGAUAUGGUGAAUCCGGGGCUACAAUUUCCUCCUCACACCCAGAAAGCAAGUAGCCAUGACAAGAAAACUAGGACUGGAAGGUUCUCAACAGUACAAGGAAGGGCACAAGCAAGAGUUGCAGUGGCUCGAACUCUGUACAGAAUAAAGACUGCCCCCACAUGAGAUGGUCUGCCAUGUAUCCUGUUGAAUCCUACUGGAGGGCUCCAUCCUUUAAAGUCAAGAACCAGUUCCUUAGACACUACGAACUUGGAUUGU